GGAAGUAAAGUCGUAACAAGGUUUCCGUAGGUGAACCUGCGGAAGGAUCAUUACUAAACACACUGUGGGGCUCGAACCGCAAGGUCUGGCUCCACAUUCCACAUUUUAAGUGAAACUUUACAUUUUUUUUACUAUAUUUUUUUAAUCACCAAAAUACAACCAUAUACGAUGGAUGUCUCGGUU
rnacentral:misc_RNA from 1 species